UACGUAGGUGGCAAGCGUUGUCCGGAAUUACUGGGUGUAAAGCGCGCGUAGGCGGUAGGCCAAGUCUGCUGUGAAAUCGCCCGGCUCAACUGGGCGCGGUCGGUGGAAACUGGUCAACUGGAGGACGGUGGAGGCGAGUGGAAUUCCCGGUGUAGUGGUGAAAUGCGUAGAGAUCGGGAGGAACACCAGUGGCGAAGGCGGCUCGCUGGGCCGGACCUGACGCUGAGGCGCGAAGGCGUGGGGAGCGAACGGG
rnacentral:rRNA from 1 species